GAUGAACGCUAGCUACAGGCUUAACACAUGCAAGUCGAGGGGCAGCGAGAAGAAAGCUUGCUUUCUUUGUCGGCGACCGGCGCACGGGUGCGUAACACGUAUCCAAUCUACCCAUGGCUCGGGAAUAGCCUUUCGAAAGAAAGAUUAAUGCCCGAUGGUCUGUUUGUGAGACAUCUCGCGGGCAGUAAAGAUUUAUCGGCGAUGGAUGAGGAUGCGUCCGAUUAGCUUGUUGGCGGGGUAACGGCCCACCAAGGCGACGAUCGGUAGGGGUUCUGAGAGGAAGGUCCCCCACAUUGGAACUGAGACACGGUCCAAACUCC
rnacentral:rRNA from 1 species